UUUUUCUUCUUCUCUUCACUCUUCUUCAGAAAUCGUCUUCCUCUUCCAAAAACUUGCUCUCUUGAAAUCUUUUUUCUCGUAUCACUUUCUUAUUCUCGUUCGAUUGUCUUUCUCUUACAACACCGAUCAUUAAGACGAUCAAAGGCGAUUUUUAAUUUUCUUCGUAUAUCGUAUUUCGUGAGGAUAAUUCGCUAACGCACUGCUUCGUUGCGCGGGAGGCACUAACUCUGGUCUUUUCCGAAGUGGCUCCGUUUUACUCUCGCUCUCUCUCUCUCUCUCUCUCUCUCUCUCUCUCUCUCUCGCUCUCUCCCUCUUAAUACGCGAUGGCUAACUCAACUCCUACGUUUUUGACGUCUCAGUAGAUAUAGGAUGACUUUUUUAUAUAAAUGCAAGAGACGUAAUGGCGUUGAACAGUUGCUUCUUCGUUUCCUCAAACGUGAAAACAGGCUUCGACGGCGUUAACAGUUCAAGUUUCAUCGUUACGCUCAAUUAUAUUCGAACGAUUUUCAUUUGACUAGUAACCGCAGCCCUUUCGCCAAUGAUCGAUCCGAUAAUCAUAGGCGAUGUUGUAGAAGUGUCGAUACGAGAUGCUCUAGAAUGCUCGGACCUUUCCACGACGAGCUUUAUUCUUUCAGAGUUUUGUAGAAGAUACUGGGCGUCUACAUGCCUCACAUCACGUGUGUCGUAAUCGUCGAUUUUCUUUAUCACGUCACCCCUCUGGAGCUCCUCGUUCUCCGACUAAAAUCAAAUACAAUGAUAACUUUCACUAAAUAUAUCAUAUGACAUGUCAUAUUAUAUACAUAUAAAUAUUUAUAUUUAUAUUUAUCAUAUAAUUAUAUUGAUUUUUUUAACAAAUAAUUUUUAGGAAAUUCACAAUAUUUUCACUUUUAUUCCAUUCAAAUGUUCAAACACGUACAUUUUGAAGAAAAAUAUUUUACCACGAAUUAUAUAUUUUUUUAUAUAAAAAUAAAAUAAAGCUGGUAUUUCGUAAAUAAGACAGUAUAUUCGCGCGCGCGUAUACGUAUGUACGUAUAUAUGUAUAUCUAUUAUGUUUAUGAGUAAAAGCAAACGAAAUUAAUCCUAUAGUUGUAUUGGUAAUAAAAAUAGUUGGCAUUAA